GACGAAGGAUGCAAGCGUUAUCCGGAUUCAUUGGGUUUAAAGGGUGCGUAGGCGGCCCAGUAAGUCAGUGGUGAAAGCUCUCCGCUUAACGGAGAAACUGCCAUUGAUACUGCCGGGCUUGAGUACAGAUGAUGUUGGCGGAAUAUGACAUGUAGCGGUGAAAUGCAUAGAUAUGUCAUAGAACACCGAUUGACGAAGGCAGCUGACAAAACUGUAACUGACGCUGAAGGCGCGGAAAGCGUGGGGAGCAAACAGG
rnacentral:rRNA from 1 species